rnacentral:rRNA from 1 species
CCAAUAGCGUAUAUUAAAGUUGCUGCGGUUAAAAAGCUCGUAGUUGAAUUUCGGAAUUGAUGCAUCGGUCGUGCCUUAAGGGGCAUGAACUGGUGUAGUCAAUUUCUCACCUUCUGGUGAAUUGUUGAUGUUCUUAAUGGGUGUCUCAAUGAACUAGAAUUUUUUACUUUGAAAAAAUUAGAGUGUUUAAAGCAGGCAUU